GACGUAGGGCGCGAGCGUUGUCCGGAUUUAUUGGGCGUAAAGAGCUCGUAGGCGGCUUGUCGCGUCGACUGUGAAAACCCGUGGCUCAACCAUGUGGUCUGCAGUCGAUACGGACGAGCUAGAAUUCGGUAGGGGAGACUGGAAUUCCUGGUGUAGCGGUGAAAUGCGCAGAUAUCAGGAGGAACACCGGUGGCGAAGGCGGGUCUCUGGGCCGAUAUUGACGCUGAGGAGCGAAAGCGUGGGGAGCGAACAGG
rnacentral:rRNA from 1 species